rnacentral:rRNA from 1 species
UAUGUGAUCGUCUCUCGCAUAUCAAUAAGCGGAGGAAAAGAAACUAACAAGGAUUCCCCUAGUAACGGCGAGUGAAGCGGGAAGAGCUCAAAUUUGAAUCUUAAAGGGUUUCCCUUUACGAAUUGUAGUUUAAAGAAGUGUUUUCUGUUGAGGUUUUGGUAAAAGUUCUUUGGAAUAGGACAUCAUAGAGGGUGAGAAUCCCGUAUUUGACCUUUACUUUCAACUUUGUGAUACACUUUCAAAGAGUCGGAUUGUUUGGGAAUGCAGUCCAAAAUGGGUGGUAAAUUUCAUCUAAAGCUAAAUAUUGGCGAGAGACCGAUAGCGAACAAGUACCGUGAGGGAAAGAUGAAAAGAACUUUGAAAAGAGAGUUAAACAGUACGUGAAAUUGUCAAAAGGGAAGCGUUUGACACCAGUGUUGUUUUUUCUGAAAAUCAAUUAAAGAACUGUUUAUGCUAAGUUGUUUAGACUUUAUCAGCUAUACUGCUUUAGUUUUGAGCUUUUCUUUAAUGCACUUUUCAGUUAACAAGUCAACAUCAAUUUCUUUUGCUGUAAAAAAGCUUGAGGAAGGUGGCUUGAGAUUCGUCUUAAGUGUUUAUAGCCUCUUGCCUAUGCAGUCGGAGAGAUUGAGGUCUGCAGCGUAGAUCCUUCGGGGCUAAAUGCAUUUGUGCUAAGUUAUAGCAUUUUAUAGACAACUUGUUGACUAUGAUUUGUCUUGUAGCUUACUCGCUUAUGUUAUUUUACCUACGCUUAGGAUGUUGAUCUACAGAGCGAGAGU